AACGAACGCUGGCGGCAUGCCUAACACAUGCAAGUCGAACGAGACCUUCGGGUCUAGUGGCGCACGGGUGCGUAACGCGUGGGAACCUGCCCUUAGGUUCGGAAUAACUCCCCGAAAGGGGUGCUAAUACCGGAUAAUGUCUUCGGACCAAAGAUUUAUCGCCUUUGGAUGGGCCCGCGUUGGAUUAGCUAGUUGGUAGGGUAAAAGCCUACCAAGGCGACGAUCCAUAGCUGGUCUGAGAGGAUGAUCAGCCACACUGGGACUGAGACACGGCCGAGACUCCUACGGGAGGCAGCAGUGGGGAAUAUUGGACAAUGGGCGAAAGCCUGAUCCAGCAAUGCCGCGUGAGUGAUGAAGGCCUUAGGGUUGUAAAGCUCUUUUAACCGGGAUGAUAAUGACAGUACCGGGAGAAUAAGCUCCGGCUAACUCCGUG
rnacentral:rRNA from 1 species